rnacentral:lncRNA from 1 species
GUGAGGAGGGAGGGCAAUCCAGGACAACGGUAGGACGUGGGCCAGGGGUCAGCAGCAGGUCAGGCACAAACAAGGGACCGGAGAGGAGUGGAGUGUACAGGAGAUAACGGGGGACAAUGAGGAGGUGAGCGGCAGAGGAGCGGAACCUCUGGGGAAGGCUGUAGAAGGAGAGAAGGGAGGUAAGGUAGGGGUAAGGUGAUGGAGAGCUUUGAAGCCAAGAGUGAGGAGUUUUUGUUUCAUGCGAAGGUUGAUAGGUAACCGCUGGAGGUUUUUGAGGAGGGGAGUGACAUGCCCAGAGCCUUUCUGACGGAAGAUGAUCCAGGCAGUGGAAUGAAGUAUAGACUGGAGCGGGGAGAGACAGGAGGAUGGGAGAUCAGAGGGGAGGCUGACACAAUAAUCCAGUAGGGAUAUUAUGAGAGCUUGUACCACCAAGGUAGCUGUUCGGAUGAGGCAUAGUUCAUUUCAUUUACAUGGCAUGUGUUUUUGUUUUUUUUAAGUAUAACAUUCAUUGAGGAUCUGUAUGCAUCUGACUGUCAGUAUGGAUGAAUCACUCAGGGAUAUAAGUCAGCUAUUUAAAGCUGCAAGGAUGAAUGAUUUUUUCACUAUGCAAGCACUACUGCAAAAAGGAGAUAUUGAUUCUUUUGUGAGAGGUAGUGUAAAGCCAUCCUUUUAUAAAUCCCCUCUCAGAAGAACAUUUAAAUGCUUAUUUCCUCUCUACUUGAUGAAAUCACUGCCCAACAUAAAACCUCCACCGAUUGAAUGUUGCCUUUAAUUUUGCUGGCCUUUUUUUGCAGAAAUAAUGUGAAAGGAAACACAGUUUUGAAGGUGACUGCUAACAAGAUUUCUCCAAUACCUGCUGUUAAUUUCAUUCUUAUUCAUAGGGGGAUGUGGAGAAACUAUUCUACAUGCAGCCUUACUUAGUGGCAGUAAAGAAGUUGUUGAAGUUAUUUUGGAUGAGGUGCCCUCUUUGAUUAAUGAGCCAGUGACAUCCAACACAUAUAGAGGUAUAGUAUCAAAAUCCUUUAAAAGAUGUUUAAUUUUUCAUAUUUUAAUACCAUUUUAAUAUCUUACCCUACUUCCUCUCUCUUCUACGGCACUCCACAAGGUAAACUUGAAUUUGUAUCUUUUAUUCACCCCACCCUCAGCCCCAUGGCACCUUUGUUUGGACUGUGAGCCUGUUGGGCAGAGAUUGUCUCUAUCUGUUGCCGAAUGGUACAUUCCAAGCGCUUAGUAUAGUGGUCUCCACAUAGUAAGCGCUCAAUAAAUGCGAUUGAAUGAAUGAGUGACUAUCUGUAACUUAUUUUAGUGUCUGUUUCCCCCUCUGGGCUGAAAGCUCCUUGUGGGCAGAGAACAUGUCUGUCUUCCCACUCUGUUUUAUUGUGCUCUCCCAAGCACUUAGUACACAGCUCUACACACAGUAAGUGCUCAAUAAAUAUGAUGGAUUACUCAUGAAAUUCAGAUUCCCUGUUUUGAUUAUUGCAGAUAGAAGGGAAAGUGGAGUGUUUAAAAUUAAUAAACAUGUAGAUAAGUGGCAGAGCCUCCACCUUCUAGACUGUGAGCCCAUUGUUGGGCAGGGAUUGUCUCUAUUUGUUGCUGAAUUGUAUUUUCCUAAUGCUUAGUACAGAGCUCUGCACAUUGUAAGUGCUCAAUAAAUAUGAUUGAAUGAAUGAAUGUUAGUUUUAAUCAUGGUAUUUAGUAAGUGCUUACUACUUGCUAAGCCCUGUGCUAAAUGAUGGGGAGUAGAUAGAGCGUCAUCAGAUAGGACACAGUUCUUGCCCCACAUAACUAAUAAUUAUGGUAUUUGUUAAAUGCUUACUAUGUGCCAGACACUCAGACCUGAUGGUUGCUAUCUUCCAAAAUACUUCCAGUCCAGAUUGAGCCUCCUGAUUGGACCAAUACUCCCUGUGGAUUCUGAGGCCUUGUGGAUUACAGGAGGAGCAUUCAAAGGCUUAGAAGACCUAGCAGAUACUAGUCUGGUUUGAAUUCCAGAAGCUGAGGCAAAAGUCCAAGGAUUGCCUCUCUGCCCCCUUCUUCACCUCCCCUCAGCUAAGCCCCCUUUCCCCCCUUUGCCUCUUCUCCUCCCCCUCUCCCUUCCCCUCCCCUCAGCACUGUGCUCAUUUG